rnacentral:lncRNA from 1 species
GUUGAAUGUCCCUGUUGAAAUUUGCAUAUAUAUUAAAAACAAACAACAGACCAGAGCAAGGAGCAUGAGCAUCUCAACCAGGGACACGAGGACAACGUCACCGAAUUCUGCGACUUGUGGCAUAAUCACACGUCACCAACAGCCCACGGACGGACCAAUUUGCAAUUAAGAGAUACGCCCCACAAACUACCUUUUUCUCCCUCUUCAUCAGAGCACACCCACCACAAAACUGUAGCACUUUGCCAAAACUGAUUUCGUGGUCUGGAC